AAAAAGUAUCAUAUAGUGUUUCAAUGGUCAACACAGUGCUUUCCAACAAAGGAUUAUGAGUUUGAAUUAGACUUUUUGUUACAAUAUUUUUGCUCUUGCCUACUCAAUAUGGGUUUACUAACAAAUUGUUGUUUAUUUUACAUUAAUAAGUCCGAUACAGGUUUGCACUCCAGUUGACAAACAUUUAUCAGCCAAAAACAUUGUUACAUGGAAACUUCUGAUUUAAAAAGGUUUACAGAAUAUUGAUACUAAUUAUAUUGCACAUAGCAUAUAGUAAUGUAUUUAUAGAUACA